rnacentral:rRNA from 1 species
UACGAGAGGUCCAAACGUUAUUCGGAAUCACUGGGCUUACAGAGUUCGUAGGCGGUUCUACAAGUGGGGUGUGAAAGCCCUCGGCUCAACCGAGGAACUGCGCUCCAAACUGUAGAACUAGAGGGAGAUAGAGGUGAGCGGAACUGAUGGUGGAGCGGUGAAAUGCGUUGAUAUCUGGAGGAACACCGGUGGCGAAGGCGGCGUUCUGGACUGCAACUGACACUGAGAAACGAAAGCCAGGGGAGCAAACGGG